UACAGAGGGGGCGAGCGUUAAUCGGAAUUACUGGGCGUAAAGCGCGCGUAGGCGGUUUUGCAAGUCGGGUGUGAAAUCCCCAGGCUUAACCUGGGAACUGCAUCCGAUACUGGAUGGCUUGAAUCCGGGAGAGGGAUGCAGAAUUCCAGGUGUAGCGGUGAAAUGCGUAGAUAUCUGGAGGAAUACCGGUGGCGAAGGCGGCAUCCUGGACCGGCAUUGACGCUGAUGAGCGAAAGCCAGGGGAGCAAACGGG
rnacentral:rRNA from 1 species